UUGGCGUUGUGGUGUUGCUUCUCAUGGGCUUUCGUGUGUUCUCGAACACUCGCGCGCCGUCGCCAGCCUCCCCCACUUUUCCGUCCAACUCCUUCCCCGCUGCCCUCGGGCCUCGGCCCCUUCACAAGGUUCCACCGCCAGCCGCUGUUGCCCUAGAUUUUUUUCUUCUCUGGGCGGUGUUCGAGGCGGGCUGCUUUGGCUCAGCGGCCGCCGACUCCACGUCCAUCCUGCGCCGCGGCCGUCUCCUCCGUGCCCCGCCGCGCCCCGCAUCUGCCGCUAACUCUCUCCCAUCACCGACUCUCAAGCCCCGCAGGCGGGACUCGCGAGGUGCGUAGCCACGUCGAGGCGCCGCCGUCCCGAUGAGUCGCCAUCGCGUUUGUGCCCGCACGAGUCGCCGCGGACGCGGCCAGAGCAUCGGCCGCCCCGUCCAGUCCCCUGGAAGUUUUGGGAGAGCCCUUGAUUCAAAGGAAAGAUGACACAGCUGAGGUCUUGAAGUCCAGGCUUGAAGCCUUCCACAUACAAACUGAACCUGCGGUCGACCACUACUCCAAGCAUGGGUUAGUGGCAAAUCUUCAUGCAGAGAAUUAGAGAAACCACUAAAGGAUGCUGAGGUGCGGAAAGCCCUUCCAUGGAGAGCCUGUUCUUCCACUGAAAAUGGCAUGUACCAAACCCCUAUUGUGCUGUUUUCACUUUCCGUCUGCCAUGUUCGUGCUGGCACCAUUUUGUUACAGCUCUUACAGGCUUGAGGAUUUUUAACAGCAGAAAGAUGAUAGUUGGAGCAUUUCAUAGUUCACAGAAUUUUCCCUACCACCUAAUUGUAACCUUGCGUCGGUGUUUCUGUUUGGUAGCUGCUCGAUUUCGUGAAGGCGAUACCUUGUUUAUCUUUUGUGGCUUGUAUAAAGAACGAACCACUCCACGCACAAUCCAAAACAACCGAAUAAGCACUGCUCAAGUGCUCAUCCAGAAAAUAAAACGGCGCGGCAAGGCGCGCAAUUCGUCUAGUUGCUAUUGAAAGACGAAUGCCAUGGCCUUGUUUGUUUGCUCUUCUGUUUCAGCUUUUGAUGUUUUUAGCAAUUUCAUAUGAAGCUGGCUUUUGAUGUUUUUUAGCAAUUUCAUAUGAAGCUGCUAAAAGCACCAAAUUUGAAACAGAAGCCUAAACAGGGGGCCUUAGCGCCGGGGCGGCCUGUCGGGCGGAUGCUGUGGCCUUCGGCGUCGGGGCGGCCUUUUUGAGUCGGGGAGGGCGCCGGAAAGGAGGUUAGGGGAGGCGUCGCGGGUGGAGCGGCGCCGGGACCGGACGAGGAGGCGGCGGCGGAGUCGUCGGAGGCUGCGCCCUGCGCGCGGGCGUUGGUGAUGCGGAGGAGACGUCGGGGCCGUAACGCGGCGUCUCCACCGUCGGCGGAGGGGGCGGCCGGGCGGGCGUUCGCAGCGGGGAUGAGGAGGCUGGGUGCUGGCCCUGCGGCCUCUCUCUCUACCCCCCACGCGACAGUUCCCCACUGCUCUCUCUGGUGCGCGUCUCCACCACCUAGCUGAGCCGUCGAGCUCGCGUCCACCUCGCCGGCCCAGCUCCUCCCCGACCGCUCGCCUCAAGCACGCCCCGCUGAGGGUGCUCCCUCGCCUACUGCUCGCCGCCGGUAGCGCCUCCGGUCGCAAACACCUGCCGCGCCGCUCCACCUCGCCGGCUCGACCUCUUCCACCAAGAACGGGUCCAACAGCGACGCCGAGCUCCUCCGGCUGCGCUCCUCGGUGACCAACGCCUCUUCCACGUGCGUGUCGUCGCCUCCCACGACAUCGACAGCCGCCGAGCUCCGUGCUGCUGCCGCCCUGUGCCUGCUGCUCCACGCGCAUGUGGCGCCUGACCCGCACGCCCGCGAGGUCCUCUGCAUGCCGUCACCUGCAGCCCAGCCGAGCCCCUUCGGCCACCUACAAUCCAAGCUAAGCCCAUAGCCCUUUCUCCUUUCUUUUUCCUGAAAUUGUUGCCUGACGUGUGGGCCCUGCUGGUCAGCGCCCCCAUGUGCUCGCUGCUGUGCGGCUGUUGCCGCUGCCCGCUGUUGUGUUGCCGCUGCUCCGGGUCGAGCCGCCUCGCUGCUGCAUGUGUUGCUACUGCCGCACCUCGUCGACGCCCGCGAAGACCUACAUUGCUUUGGAGAUGAAGUCAUGAACGACUACUUCACCUACAUCGCCUACUUCGCCUACGUGUACGACUAUCUCGUCUACGUCGGCUACUUCCUCUACAUCGCAACGCCGCACGUGUCCAAGAGGUUCCAACAUAGCAGGUGGGCCGCUUCUCCGUGGAGCACGACGUUGGAUUCGAUGUCUAACUAGGAGAUCCAGAUCAGGGUUCUGAGACACGUGGCGGGUUUCCUUCCGGGCAUAAUUCGACUUCCGCUGAUGUAAUGAUGUAAUGUUGGGACAU